rnacentral:rRNA from 1 species
AUUGAACGCUGGCGGUAGGCCUAACACAUGCAAGUCGAACGGCAGCACAGUAAGAGCUUGCUCUUACGGGUGGCGAGUGGCGGACGGGUGAGGAAUACAUCGGAAUCUACUUUUUCGUGGGGGAUAACGUAGGGAAACUUACGCUAAUACCGCAUACUACCUACAGGUGAAAGCAGGGGAUCUUCGGCCCUUGCGCGAUUGAAUGAGCCGAUGUCGGAUUAGCUAGUUGGCGGGGUAAAGGCCCACCAAGGCGACGAUCCGUAGCUGGUCUGAGAGGAUGAUCAGCCACACUGGAACUGAGACACGGUCCAGACUCCUACGGGAGGCAGCAGUGGGGAAUAUUGGACAAUGGGCGCAAGCCUGAUCCAGCCAUACCGCGUGGGUGAAGAAGGCCUUCGGGUUGUAAAGCCCUUUUGUUGGGAAAGAAAAGCAGCAGGUUAAUACCCCGCUGUUCUGACGGUACCCAAAGAAUAAGCACCGGCUAACUUCGUG